rnacentral:rRNA from 1 species
GGCGGACGGGUGAGUUAACGCGUAGGAAUCUACCUAAUAGUGGGGGAUAGCCCAGGGAAACUUGGAUUAAUACCGCAUACGCCCUAAGGGGGAAAGCGGGGGAUCUUCGGACCUCGUGCUAUUAGAUGAGCCUGCGUAAGAUUAGCUAGUUGGUGAGGUAAGAGCUCACCAAGGCGACGAUCUUUAGCUGGUCUGAGAGGAUGAUCAGCCACACUGGGACUGAGACGCGGCCCAGACUCCUACGGGAGGCAGCAGUGGGGAAUAUUGGACAAUGGGGGCAACCCUGAUCCAGCCAUGCCGCGUGUGUGAAGAAGGCCUUCGGGUUGUAAAGCACUUUCAGAUGUGAGGAAAGGUUGCAGAUUAAUACUCUGUAGCUGUGACGUUAACAUCAGAAGAAGGACCGGCUAACUCCGUGCCAGCAGCCGCGGUAAUACGGAGGGUCCGAGCGUUAAUCGGAAUUACUGGGCGUAAAGCGCGC